rnacentral:tRNA from 3 species
UGUGGUGUAGCUCAAAUGGAUAGAGCGCCCCUUAUGUGGGGAGUUGAGCACUAACCAAUGUUCGCAACACAGGUUAUCUCAUGCGGCCGGCCGGACGUUAUGCGGGUUCAAAUCCCGUCACCACAG